rnacentral:misc_RNA from 1 species
AACGCACCUUGCGCCCCUUGGUAUUCCGAGGGGCAUGCCUGUUUGAGUGUCAUCGAAUCAUCAACGCGAACGCGGUUGCCUUUUCGGCGCCGCAUUUGACGCUUGGAACCUGGAGUCGUGCGCGCGUCAGCUUUCUAUGCUCGACCGCGCUCCUCUCGAAAUGCAUCAGCGGUCGCGGCCCGACUUCUCGAGCCCGCGUGCCCGGCGUGAUAGUCUAUCUACGUCGCUGCGCGCGUCUGCGCUCUUCGUCCGGCCAUGCGCGAAUCCGCUUACAGCCCCGCCGGUUCCCCCCGUCCAAAGGGGAAACGGACUUGACGAUUUUGACCUCAGAUCAGGUAGGAUUACCCGCUGAACUUAA